CAGGGCGGCCGAUGGCAGAUUAGCUAGUUGGUGGGGUAAAGGCCUACCAAGGCGAYGAUCUGUAGCUGGUCUGAGAGGAYGACCAGCCACACUGGGACUGAGACACGGCCCAGACUCCUACGGGAGGCAGCAGUGGGGAAUUUUGGACAAUGGGGGRAACCCUGAUCCAGCAAUGCCGCGUGUGUGAAGAAGGCCYUYGGGUUGUAAAGCACUUUUGUWUGGGAAGAAAGCAUUGGGGKGAAUACCUNKRAUGGAUGACGGUACCAUAAGAAUAAGCACCGGCUAACUACGUGCCAGCAGCCGCGGUAAUACGUAGGGUGCGAGCGUUAAUCGGAAUGACUGGGCGUAAAGGGUGCGCAGGCGGUUUGNCAAGACGAAUGUGAAAUCCCCGGGCUUAACCUGGGAAUGGCAUGCGUGACUGGCAGGCUAGAGUAUGGCAGAGGGAGGCRGAAUUCCACRUGUAGCAGUGAAAUGCGUAGAGAUGUGGAGGAAYAYCGAUGGCGAAGGCAGCCUCCUGGGUCA
rnacentral:rRNA from 1 species